rnacentral:lncRNA from 1 species
UGGCGGACGACGACCUCGCGAUGGUGGUGGCGAACGACGACCUCGCGAUGGUGGUGGCGAACGACGACCUCGCGAUGGUGGUGGCGGAUGACGACCUCGCAUGGUGGCGGCGCCUGCAAUCCCACAACUUGGCGACAGGACCAUGCCAAUUGUGGUAGAGGAGUACAUCCGCGUUGGGAUUCGCCACUCUGAGCGCAUCAGGUUGAUGAAGGAGAAGAAGGAGGAGUGAAGGUGUUAAGAAGGUGUUCAGCAUGUUAGGUUUAAGCUUGUUAGUGUAAUAUGAACAUGUCAAUGUUAAGUAUGUCAGGUUUAAUUUUGUGCAUGCUCAUGGAUGCUGUAUGACAGUGUCAUCUAAACAAGUCAUGUUUUUAACAAUGAAUAUUCAGUUUGGUAAUUGAUGGGAAUUGAAAUUUUUUAUGCAUGCUCAUGGAUGAAAGAUAAAA